rnacentral:misc_RNA from 1 species
GAUGAAGAACGUAGCGAAGUGCGAUAAGUAAUGUGAAUUGCAGAUUUCCGUGAAUCAUCGAAUCUUUGAACGCAAAUUGCACUCUCUUUCGGGGGAGUAUGCCUGUUUGAGGGUCAGCCUAAAUAAAAUCGGCUUCGUUGCUGUUUUCGCGGUAACGUUUGACGGAAAUUGGGUUUUCUUAAACUUUUCGGUUUAAGUGGCUUAAAAUUUUUAUUUUACGAUUCUACGAACGUUUCUAAGAUAUAAUCUUUUACGUUCGAGGUAUCGAACCACUUAUUAGACGUGACCGUCACAUCGGAUCUCGUUCAUAUAAUUUUUUCUUUUACUGACCUCAGACAGGUAAGAGUACCCGCUGAACUUAAGCAUAUCAAUAAGCGGAGGA